GGGGUGGUUGAGCGAUGAUUUAUGAGCAAGGAAGCUCCAGCGUGAGACUGUAGACUGCAGUAUACAUAUAUAUACAAGCCCGCAGCCCCGGACUCCCCCGGUCACUUUCUCCAUUCGACGUGGUCAGUUUCAUUUUCAUAGCCCUUGGAGUAUUGUGUAAUACUGGUAAUUUUUGCUCGAAAAAGGAUGGCUGGAAAAGGUGGAGCUACUCCGGCGACCUACUCUCCAUCGCUGACGACGGUCAAGGGCAAGAAAAAGCCCCCCAUUUUCGCUGAUGAUGCCAAUUGGGUUCGCUCUGAUGGCCGUCACUUCCACCAGUGCAGGCCUGCAUUUCUACGGACAAAUGCAGUCAAUUCUGCCUCUGGAUCUGCUUAUGCGGAGUUUGGAAACACCAAGGUCAUAGUGUCAGUAUUUGGGCCAAGGGAGAGUAAGAAAGCAAUGAUGUACAGCGAUGUAGGUCGGUUGAAUUGUAAUGUCAGCUACACAACUUUUGCUACUGUCCACCGCAAUCAGGGAUCUGAUAGCAAAGAAUUAUCAUCAAUGCUGUAUAAAGCUCUGGAGGGUGCUAUAAUAUUGGAAUCCUUUCCUAAGACAACUGUAGAUGUUUUUGCUUUGGUUUUGGAAUCUGGUGGCAGUGAUCUUCCUGUGAUUAUCUCAUGUGCCAGUCUUGCUCUAGCGGAUGCCGGGAUCUUGUUGUAUGACUUGGUUGCCGCUGUUUCUGUGCCAAGACUUCAGGCUCCUUUAUCCAUUUGCUUGCGACACUUUUUCAGUGUGGCCUUUUACCUUGUCCUUGAAGAAGUUUUCCCAUAACAAUUGAUGCACGGUGUUCAGGUUGUUAUCUAUCUGCCAUCCAUCCAACUUUAGCAAUAUGUUUGCUAUGCAAACAGUUUACCUGCAGUGGUGGGCUAUUUGGGGAAAAUAUAUUAUGAUACUGCAUCUGCUAUCAAAGAAUUUCCUUUAGUAAUUGUUUCUAUGAACUAUUAUGAUACUGCAUCUGCUAUUGGUGAAGUAUUCAUAUUAGAUGUGAUUCUUGUGUGGUGCGUUAACUAAAUUGCUUUGUUUUCCUGUUUAUAGUCCUGCCUUGGAAAAAACCUUGUCAUUGACCCUAUUUUAGAAGAAGAAAGCCACCAAGAUGGGAGCUUUAUGAUUAGUUGCAUGCCUUCACGUAAUGAGGUCACUCAACUUACUGUUACGGGAGAAUGGUCAACCCCAAAGAUUAGUGAGGCAAUGGAGCUGUGCCUUGAUGCCUGUUCAAAGCUUGCAAAGAUCAUGCGGUCAAGUUUGAGAGAACCUCUAUCUGCUUCUGAGGAAUAAGGAGUAUU